ACAAUGGGCGCAAGCCUGAUGCAGCGACGCCGCGUGCGGGAUGGAGGCCUUCGGGUUGUAAACCGCUUUUGUUCAAGGGCAAGGCACGGUUUCGGCCGUGUUGAGUGGAUUGUUCGAAUAAGCACCGGCUAACUACGUGCCAGCAGCCGCGGUAAUACGUAGGGUGCGAGCGUUAUCCGGAUUUAUUGGGCGUAAAGGGCUCGUAGGCGGUUCGUCGCGUCCGGUGUGAAAGUCCAUCGCUUAACGGUGGAUCUGCGCCGGGUACGGGCGGGCUGGAGUGCGGUAGGGGAGACUGGAAUUCCCGGUGUAACGGUGGAAUGUGUAGAUAUCGGGAAGAACACCAAUGGCGAAGGCAGGUCUCUGGGCCGUUACUGACGCUGAGGAGCGAAAGCGUG
rnacentral:rRNA from 1 species